UACGUAGGGGGCUAGCGUUGUCCGGAAUCAUUGGGCGUAAAGCGCGUGUAGGCGGCCCGGUAAGUCCGCUGUGAAAGUCGGGGGCUCAACCCUCGAAUGCCGGUGGAUACUGUCGGGCUAGAGUACGGAAGAGGCGAGUGGAAUUCCUGGUGUAGCGGUGAAAUGCGCAGAUAUCAGGAGGAACACCGGUGGCGAAAGCGACUCACUGGACCGACACUGACGCUGAGGUGCGAAAGCUAGGGUAGCAAACGGG
rnacentral:rRNA from 1 species